GACGAACGCUGGCGGCGUGCUUAACACAUGCAAGUCGAACGCUGAAGCUCAGCUUUUGUUGGGUGGAUGAGUGGCGGACGGGUGAGUAACACGUGAGUAACCUGCCCCCUUCUUUGGGAUAACGCCCGGAAACGGGUGCUAAUACUGGAUAUUCACUGGUCUUCGCAUGGGGGUUGGUGGAAAGGGUUUUUCUGGUGGGGGAUGGGCUCGCGGCCUAUCAGCUUGUUGGUGGGGUGAUGGCCUACCAAGGCUUUGACGGGUAGCCGGCCUGAGAGGGUGACCGGUCACAUUGGGACUGAGAUACGGCCCAGACUCCUACGGGAGGCAGCAGUGGGGAAUAUUGCACAAUGGGCGCAAGCCUGAUGCAGCGACGCCGCGUGAGGGAUGGAGGCCUUCGGGUUGUGAACCUCUUUCGCUCAUGGUCAAGCCGCAACAAUGGUUGUGGUGAGGGUAGUGGGUAAAGAAGCGCCGGCUAACUACGUG
rnacentral:rRNA from 1 species